UGCGAGUCAUUGUAGCAAUACAAGGCAGACGGCUCAGUAACGCGUAGUCAACCUAACCUAUGGACGGGAAUAACCUCGGGAAACUGAGAAUAAUGCCCGAUAGAACAUUAUGCCUGGAAUGGUUUAUGUUCCAAAUGAUUUAUCGCCGUAGGAUGGGACUGCGGCCUAUCAGUUUGUUGGUGAGGUAAUGGCCCACCAAGACUAUUACAGGUACGGGCUCUGAGAGGAGUAGCCCGGAGAUGGGUACUGAGACACGGACCCAGGCCCUAUGGGGCGCAGCAGGCGAGAAAACUUUGCAAUGUGCGAAAGCACGACAAGGUUAAUCCGAGUGGUUUCUGCUAAAGGAACCUUUUGUCGGUCCUAGAAACACCGAUGAAUAAGGGGUGGGCAAGUUCUGGUGUCAGCCGCCGCGGUAAAACCAGCACCUCAAGUGGUCAGGAUGAUUAUUGGGCCUAAAGCAUCCGUAGCCGGCUCUGUAAGUUUUCGGUUAAAUCUGUGCGCUCAACGUACAGGCUGCCGGGAAUACUGCAGAGCUAGGGAGUGGGAGAGGUAGACGGUACUCGGUAGGAAGGGGUAAAAUCCUUUGAUCUAUUGAUGACCACCUGUGGCGAAGGCGGUCUACCAGAACACGUCCGACGGUGAGGGAUGAAAGCUGGGGGAGCAAACCGGAUUAGAUACCCGGGUAGUCCCAGCUGUAAACUAUGCAAACUCAGUGAUGCAUUGGCUUGUGGCCCAAUGCAGUGCUGCAGGGAAGCCGUUAAGUUUGCCGCCUGGGAAGUACGUACGCAAGUAUGAAACUUAAAGGAAUUGGCGGGGG
rnacentral:rRNA from 1 species